rnacentral:rRNA from 1 species
UCCGUAGGCGGGUUUAUAAGUCAGUGGUGAAAGUUUGCGGCUCAACCGUAAAAUUGCCAUUGAUACUGUAGACCUUGAAUUAGUGUGAAGUGGUUAGAAUGUGUAGUGUAGCGGUGAAAUGCAUAGAUAUUACACAGAAUACCAAUUGCGAAGGCAGAUCACUAACACUAUAUUGACGCUGAGGGACGAAAGCGUGGGGAGCGAACAGGAUUAGAAACCCUGGUAGUCC